UCAUUUAUAUUGAUAUUCAUGUUUGUAAACAGUACCAAAAUAUAUAUUAGUUUUAAUAAUAUAGAUAGAUGUAGAAACUGGUAUAUUUACUAAACGUAUGAAAUUGUGAACUUACGAGUUAAACUUUCAGUUAUCUUCUCUCCGGAGCUUAAAACAUAUCUGAAGUUCAGUUUUUGUUUCGUAUGAUCACUGGGAGCUCUCUAUUUCUCUUAUUUAAAGGAAAUAGAAAACCCACUAAUUAUUUUUAAUAUGAAAAUUUUAAAUUAAAAUUAAAUAAAGUAAAGAAGAAACAAGAAUCGUGUCUCUUUAAUUAGUAAGAACUAUACAAAAAGGAUUCGGGAGUCCGUGACUACUGACAUCCAAAAUAAAUAAUGGAUUAGUUGGCAAAAAUGCCAAAAAAUAAUAAAUAGUGAAAUGAUAUUAAAUCAAAGAAUAAUAAUUUGGCGAAUAAUGUGGAUAUUAAAUAGUGCCGUCACUUGCUCGUUUAUGGUAUAUCAAAACAAAAACGAACAAGUGUUGUACUGUUUUUGUCAAUGGGAUUUUUCGUCUUUAUGAUGUAGCUUUCAUUUAGAACGAAUAACAAGAGGUUAAUCAGUUUUACCCAAAAAGAGGUUAUCCGCGCGAAUAUUCAUUUUUUUUUACAUUUUUUCUAAAUAAAUAUUUAUAUUGUAGAAGUCAUAGUAUAUACAUUUUUAAAUUGUUAAAUAAAAUAUUUUUAACACAAUAAUUUUAUAUUUUAUGUUAAAAUCUGUUUUUGGAAAAUUAAGUGUAUCAUGCACAUUUAAAAAACAUAAUACAAAACCGUUGAAAAGAUUAAACAUAGAAUAUUUUGAAAAUCAAGACCAAUCACAAAAUAUUCAAGGAUGUAAUUGAGUCCUAAUAGAUGCUUAUUACUGAAAUUUUGUAUAAAUUAGUCUCAUAAUUAAAUAUAUGAGUAAUAAUAAGUACAUUUGAGGUAAUGAGGUAAACCUGACACUUUAAAUAGUAAUCAUCGACGGUUGAGAACAGUUUAAUGACUUUCUAAAGAUUUCGGAGUGCUCUAGCGGAACGUAUCAGUUUGGUGGAAAUACGAAGCUAAUGUUGUAAUGUUUGAUUUAGAGAAUUUUCGUUCAAACAAAUUUGUGAUCGUCAUUUGAAUUCUCAUCUUUCGGGUCCAUAAAUGUAAGUUUAUAUUAAAAAAUAAGUACAUGAGAGAAUAAUGUCAAGAAAGAAUUUAAGUACAUGUGAGAAUCUAAUUUAUAUGUGGGACAUUUGCUAAAACCAACCCAAAAAUUCAAGUCAAAUGUAAAAGUAUACCCCACUUUCAGUCAAAUGCAAAACCAACCUAAAAGAGUGGUAAAAGUACUAUUUAAUCCUUAUGACCAAACAAAAAAAAUAAAUGUAUUUUACAUUUAUAUCCUUCGUAAGUCUACAUAUAACAGAAAGAAGUCUACAUACAUGUAGACUUCAUACGAACUCUACCUUGUAGAUUUAUUAUAUAGUCUACAUUUUAAUUUGAUCUAAUAAUUUAAUUUUAAAAAUGUAUAAAAAUAUUUGUUAUGAAAUUUUUAGUUAACCUUUAAUAUAAGGGUUAAUAUGAGGUUUAUAAAUUAAAAGUUUAUAUAAUUUAACAAUUUAAGAGAAUAUAUUGAUUUGGUAACCAUGUGUUAGAACAUUGGUUAUGGUAUAGCAACAAAAGGUUCUAACAUAUUAUGUCUAUAAGGGUUAGAUUCUUAGGGUUAGAUUUUAGAUUGAGAUUUUUUUUAUUAAUUUAAAUUUGUAUAUUAGUGUUGAGUAGUUUAUAUUUUGCAAAUUUUGAUAUUUGAUGCAAUAGUUAGGAUUUUUUUGAUUAUCAAGCAAAUAUUUAGAGUUUGAGAUUUAUGAUUUAGGGUUUCGUAGACUUACAAUAAAGUCUACUUCACUGUAGACGAUUUUUUCUGUCUAUGUUAAUCGGUUUUACAAAAAAUAUUAUUUUAAAAUUAAAUUUAGUUCUUUAUGAAUAAAAAUGUGAAAUCAUAUAUUAUAACUAUUAAAAAAAAUUUAGUAAAUCAUAUAUUAAAAUUAUUAAAACAAUAAACUAUUAAAAUAGUUAAGAACAAAAGAAAUUUAAAUCAUAUAUUAUACUUAAAAAUAAUAAAAGAUAAAUAUCAAAAAAUCAUAGUAGACUUAUUUACAAGUCUACCAAACUGAAAAUAAUUUAUGCUAACCAGACUUUAACCAAAAUAGUUUAAUUUAACCAAACUUAAACCAGGAAAAUUUUAACCUAACCGGAUCACGUACCCCACAUAUAAAUACAUUUUCUUUUGUGAAAUUAGGUUAAAAUCACAAAACCUAGCGCCGUUGCUCUUUCUCUCCGACAAGGCGAUUUCCGGCACGAUUUUCGGCACAUUUCCAGCGGUCUUCAAGUAGUUUCCAUCACCGUCCUGUCGUCGCUGCAACAUCUUCCCUCUGACAUGAUCUGGUUGGUUUCACGGCGAGCAGUGCUUCUGGUCUCAGAUGUGGGAGAUGUUGAAAGUAUCCACCCCGAAGACAACUCAUCACAAUGAUCUUGUAAGUUUAGCUCGUAAAUAUUCCCUGAACUUGAUAGUUCAUUAUUAGAGCUUUCUGAAUUUUCUAGUUUGGGUUGCACUUGCAGGUUAGCUUCUCAGCUCUUGGCAUGGCUCGGUCUUGGUAGGUUUCACUUUACGUUUCUCUUAAUCUGAAAAGCACAAAAAAAUUUGAAACUGUUUUUGUUUGUUUGUUUCUUUAACAGACGUUUAAGAGAGAUUCUCCACUGGUUGUAGACAUGACAACAUCAAUCCUGAAACUCUGAGACGAGAAAAUUGCAAGACGGGUGGAAGCUUUGUAUCCGAGUAUGCAGACCAUGUAUAUAUACUUCUCAAAUGCAGCACAUGAAGGAUAUUGCUGGUACUUUGGCGGCAGAAGAUGCUGGCCAAGUGGCUAAGCUUCGAUCAGUUCUGGAGUCCGUUGACCACAAAAGAAGAAAGGUACAUCAUCUCUCUUGUAAAUAAAUGAUAAAGUUCUGAGGUUACUUUGAUUGUUUUUGUAUAGGUGUUCUUAUGCUCAUGAAUUUAGUCUACUCUGUUUAUCAGAUUUUACAACAAAUGAGAGGUGAUGCACACUUGCUUAACUUGGAAGAAGGCAGUCCUCCUAUUCAACCCAAGUUCUUCAGCCCCAUUCAUCAUAAAAUGUGGAGGUAACACCAACUCAGAGCUAGUGAUCAAGGCUGAUGCACGCGUUCAAGAGCCCAAAGGGAGGUGAACUUGAAAGAGUUAUCCCAAGAGCUUCUGUUUUAGUAAAGCAUGAGCUACUCAAGGCUCUACAAUUUGGCGCAUUGUGAUCUUAUAUAUUAUUUUCGGCCACUGGCCAAAUUUGGCGCAUUUAUGCUACCUUUGGGGUCCAUAUCCAUUGUCUGUAUGUAACUUCACUUUGUAUAUUGCUAUCAUUCACAGAUCAAUAAUUGUUUACUUUCACAGCCAGUUUUUGAAUUGCUUCUCAAGUGUUAGAUGAUAACAAAAUCUAGUUGCAGUAAUAGUGUGAUUAUAAAAUGGAUGCCACCAUUUAAACACACGUUAUACAUAAGAUGUGAAUCCAUUGUGUUUAGCAGUAAGGGUCUAAGACUUAAGUUCAUGAAACCACCACAAAGAGUUUUUCACCAUUGAUUCUUUGCAAAAGAAAAAUUAAAGAAAUAGAUUGUAGUAUACACUUACUAAUUAACAACAUAUCAAAACCAAAAUUUCAUGUUUGAUAAAAUUAUAAAAGUAGACUUACAAAAACGUCUACACUUAUUAGCUAACUACAUAAUCAAAUAAAAAAAGUGAUAGUUUCAUAAUUAUAAAAGAUUAUCUUUUGAAAAUAGUUCAAAACCAUUAGGAUUAACUAACACACAAUAUCAAACAAUAAAAUCUUAAAAAUACUUAAUGAAUAAUACACAAAUUCACUUUAUAUAGAUUUUUGGACGUAGACUUCAUAUUUCGUCUUACAUGCAUAGACUGUCAUGUAGGUCAACUAUUUGGGUUAGUUUUUGCAAUUGUAAAAUUCACGGGUUAUUAUUUGUAUUUAAAUAAAAUUUGUGAUUUUAUAUUUGUAGACUUUAUUUUCAGUCUACAUUUUUAAAAUGUUAGUUUUUACAGUUGACCAGAAUUCACAUAAAAUUUGAAUUUCAAAAGUAGACUUCAUAUAUAGUCUACAUUUUUAAUUUUCUUGGAAUAGGUUAGUUUUUGCAAUUGACCAAGUUUGACUUUCCAUGAGUAAAUUGAAAUUAACGUCUACACAUGUGUAGACUUCACAUAAAGUCUACUCUCAAAUCCGACAGGUUAGUUUUGCAUUUGACCAAAAUAAAAAAGUAGACUUCAUAUGCAGUAUAUGUUUUUUUUUCCGAGAAGAGUAGACUGAAUAUGAAGUCUACAUUUCUUUUUUCUUUCGGUCAAUUUUUUAACAUUUUAGUCAAAUACAAAAAUAACCUAUUCAACGAAGUCAAAGUUUUGGUCAAAUGCAAAACUAACAUUUUGUAGAUUUCCUUAAUAAUCUCCAGAAUAUAGACUGCUAAUGAAGUCUACUUUGAAAAGUCAAAAGUUCAGUCAAAUGCAAAACUAACCUCUUUUA